rnacentral:rRNA from 1 species
UACACUCCUGCGGGAGGCAGCAGUGGGGAAUAUUGGACAAUGGGCGCAAGCCUGAUCCAGCCAUGCCGCGUGAGUGAUGAAGGCCCUAGGGUUGUAAAGCUCUUUCACCGGUGAAGAUAAUGACGGUAACCGGAGAAGAAGCCCCGGCUAACUUCGUGCCAGCAGCCGCGGUAAUACGAAGGGGGCUAGCGUUGUUCGGAUUUACUGGGCGUAAAGCGCACGUAGGCGGACUAUUAAGUCAGGGGUGAAAUCCCGGGGCUCAACCCCGGAACUGCCUUUGAUACUGGUAGUCUUGAGUUCGAGAGAGGUGAGUGGAAUUCCGAGUGUAGAGGUGAAAUUCGUAGAUAUUCGGAGGAACACCAGUGGCGAAGGCGGCUCACUGGCUCGAUACUGACGCUGAGGUGCGAAAGCGUGGGGAGCAAACAGGAUUAGAAACCCGGGUAGUCCCAUG